AAGUUGGUUUGAUUCCAAACUCCUGACGUCAAAAUGACGUCGCAGAACAUGCGUAUGGGGGCGGGACACGACGACGUUUUUCAAACAGGUCAAUCAGCAGCCUCCAUCUUUGCCGGAACCACGCUUUGCUUGUUUUUUACUCCUAAAGGGACCGUAUAGCAACUUUAUGUUAGAUAGAAACGCCUAAUAAAUAGAUCAUUGUUUCUCGCUGACAUUAAAAUUGUUUUGUAAUGUUUUGACGCGCAAGUGGCUGAAGCGCAUUUCCGAUUAAUUGCAAGUAUUCGCAUUUUUCGAGCCGUAGUCACACACGUGUCGAUUCCGCAUCCGGGCCAGUUCGAGCCAUUUCGCUGUGCACAGGUAAGAUGGCGGCUAUGUAGAAGCAGCUGAUCAGUGCCGUGGCCCGCAUUUAGUGUACCUUUGCCCGUCACGCUGCACGAUUAGAUGAGUCUCGGCCUCCGUGGUGUGCUUUCGCCCGAGAAGAAUUUCGGAAGCUGUGAACAUCAUGGAAGCCGUGAAAGCGAAGCGCAAGGAUAACCAAGAAUCGAUGAAGGUUGGAAAGCAGUACAUCGCAACAGAUACUGAAAAACCGGAGGUGGCAGGUUGGGCGGGCUGGAGGGCCGCGUCAUGGACGCUUUGAGCCGGACCGGCCCAGGCUACGCGCCGGUGGAUUUUUACGCCGAUGACGCCGAGG